GGGGCGGUGGCGGAACUGGCAGACGCAGCGGACUUAAAAUCCGCCGGGCGCAGGCCCUUGUGGGUUCGAGUCCCACCCGCCCUACCU
rnacentral:tRNA from 1 species